rnacentral:misc_RNA from 1 species
GGGGGGUUUUGUUUUGUUUGUGAAAGCUACGUGGGAGGAAAUGGGUUUUGAAGCUCCAUUAAAUGGAUGCAAGUACUCAAUGGCUUCUACUUUAACUAAAGUUUUGAAUUCACUUGCUGGACUUUCAGGGAGACUACUACUGGCAGGUGUGACCACUCAGCUUUCUUCUCUGAUAAAUCAUCGAACGGCAAUUUUGCAGGAUCAUUUGAUCGCGACAGGCCGUAUCUUAAGUUCCAAAUAUAGCGCACAAGAGAACUGAGAAUUAAAUAAAAUUGAAACAUAAAUAGUAUUUGCAGUUAAUAGGCUCCAUUGGCUUUGGCUUGUCAGUUACUUCUUCAGAUUAGCACUUACUCAAUUUAACAAUUAUUUACAAAUAAUGGCAAUUCAUGACAAGUAUAAACAGCAUAAUGAACAGCUUCAAAAACACAGCUGUUGUAUCCUUGCACAAUUUCAAUCUUCAAUGGGCAUAUACAACGCCCACAAUUUGACUACCGCUCUUCAUACUGUUAAUCAAUUUGUGAGGUACUUUGAACUGUUGGCAUCUGACCAUCUU